AUUGAACGCUGGCGGCAUGCCUUACACAUGCAAGUCGAACGGCAGCACGGGUGCUUGCACCUGGUGGCGAGUGGCGAACGGGUGAGUAAUACAUCGGAACGUACCUUAUCGUGGGGGAUAACGCAGCGGAAGCUGUGCUAAUACCGCAUACGCCCUGAGGGGGAAAGCGGGGGAUCGCAAGACCUCGCGCGAUUAGAGCGGCCGAUGCCUGAUUAGCUAGUUGGUGGGGUAAAAGCCCACCAAGGCGACGAUCAGUAGCUGGUCUGAGAGGACGAUCAGCCACACUGGGACUGAGACACGGCCCAGACUCCUACGGGAGGCAGCAGUGGGGAAUUUUGGACAAUGGGGGCAACCCUGAUCCAGCAAUGCCGCGUGAGUGAAGAAGGCCUUCGGGUUGUAAAGCUCUUUUGUCAGGGAAGAAACACCGGCUCUAACACAGUCCGGGAAUGACGGUACCUGAAGAAUAAGCACCGGCUAACUACGUGCCAGCCGCCGCAGUAA
rnacentral:rRNA from 1 species